GAAGCCCUCCAGACCGCCGCCGGUGCAAGCGCUGAAAAGCCGCACUGGAGGAACGUCCGGACUGCACAGGGCAGCGUAGCAGCUAACGGCUGUCCACCGCGAGGUGAGGAUCAGAGCAACAGAGACGAGUCCUGGGGGAGUGUCGCAAGAUAGACCACCAGGGGUGAAACGGGCAAUCUCUACGCGCAGCAACACCAAGUAGGCACACGUUGACGGGGCCCCCGGAGUGUGCGGGUAGGUGGCAUCGAGCCGGCGGGGCGACCCCCGGCCCAGAGUAAUGGCGGUCACGUUUGGGCGACCAGACGCACAGAAUCCGGCUUAUCGGUGGGCUUCACAC
rnacentral:RNase_P_RNA from 1 species